rnacentral:tRNA from 1 species
GGCGGCUUGGCCAAAAGGUAAGGCAACGGCUUGCAAAACCGUCAAAGGCGGUUCAAUUCCGCCAGCCGCCUCCA